rnacentral:rRNA from 1 species
AGGCCCUUCGGGGUACUCGAGCGGCGAACGGGUGAGUAACACGUGAGUAAUCUGCCCCUGGCUUUGGGAUAGCCACCGGAAACGGUGAUUAAUACCGGAUACGACCACUUCUCGCAUGGGAUGGUGGUGGAAAGUUUUUCGGCCAGGGAUGUGCUCGCGGCCUAUCAGCUUGAUGGUGAGGUAAUGGCUCACCAUGGCUUCGACGGGUAGCCGGCCUGAGAGGGUGACCGGUCACACUGGGACUGAGACACGGCCCAGACUCCUACGGGAGGCAGCAGUGGGGAAUAUUGGACAAUGGGCGGAAGCCUGAUCCAGCAACGCCGCGUGAGGGAUGACGGCCUUCGGGUUGUAAACCUCUUUCAGCAGGGACGAAGCGCAAGUGACGGUACCUGCAGAAGAAGCACCGGCCAACUACGUGCCAGCAGCCGCGGUAAUACGUAGGGUGCGAGCGUUGUCCGGAAUUAUUGGGCGUAAAGGGCUCGUAGGCGGUCUGUCGCGUCGGGAGUGAAAACCAGGUGCUUAACACCUGGCUUGCUUUCGAUACGGGCAGACUAGAGGUAUUCAGGGGAGAACGGAAUUCCUGGUGUAGCGGUGAAAUGCGCAGAUAUCAGGAGGAACACCGGUGGCGAAGGCGGUUCUCUGGGAAUAUCCUGACGCUGAGGAGCGAAAGUGUGGGGAGCGAACAGGAUUAGAUACCCUGGUAGUCCACACCGUAAACGUUGGGCGCUAGGUGUGGGGUCCAUUCCACGGAUUCCGUGCCG